ensembl:lincRNA 4933406K04Rik RIKEN cDNA 4933406K04 gene
CCCCCCCCCCAGUGACGUACUUCCACCCCUAGGCUGCAGCACCUAAACCAACUGAUUUCCUCAGGGAGACCAACAUCUCAUGCAAACCACAGCAGCCUGCAAAAGCCAGGCUUCAUUCUCGGUGUGUGUGUGUCCAGGAUCUUUCAUGGACCCAGAGAGGUGGUGAGGGUCUUUACUGCCUUACCGCUGGUAUUUGUCACAGAAGCAGAAGCGAAGACCUCACAUCUGCUGCACGUAAAGGCUAUGCUGUGGUGCCAUGCUAUGACUUAUAUGUGCCAUAGCAUGCAGAGAAUGAAUAUUUGGUUAAGGACCAAGACACCUUGCAGAAGAAAGAGUAUACAGUUCCAGAGUGGUGAACAUUCAUGGUGACAGAGUUGAAGCCUGAAGCACGGCAACAAGUGACAGGCAUGACUACACAAGGAGGAAGCUGAGAGCUCACACUCGACAAAACAGAGAACUCGAACUGGAAUGUAAACUGAAGACCAGAAGCUGACCUUUGGAGAUAUUUAGUCCAGUGGACUGAGCAGCUGCUGCACUCUCAGUAUCUUCAACGUGAGACAGCCAUGUCAGAAAACCCAACGCAUAUCAUUUUCAGGCUCUGAUGUCACUGUCUGGCCUAAGGCUCCUACAUGCAGUGGUGCUACUGAAUAUGAACUCACAUAAGUGUACACAAACACAUAAAAACAAAAAGAUAAAGUUUCACAAAAAAACAUUCAUACCACAGCAUGGAUGUUUCUCGCUGCACUUGGACAGAUUUUCAGUGGAAAGAACAGAAAGCAGAACAAAAGGAAGCAAUAGGCACCUGUAUUGAAGUUCUGACAACAGAAGAAGUUGGCCAUCUCAUUUCUAUCUCGCAUGCCAAGCCUUUUCUACUCUCCUGGAAGAUGACCCCAGCACAUCAAGGGCAAGAGAAUGAAGAUACAGAACAUUCCACUGCAAUCAUGUCCGGUGAGGCUUUCUCCCCCAACAACAGAAAGAGUUUGUACAGAAUACGAUGCCAUAAACAUGAAUCAUGUCGUCCUUACUGGGGACUCAGAGAGACGAUGCCUCGUGGACCACUAGAUCACUGUCAUCUACUUGGAGAGUAAAUAAUAGGGAAUCUACGCACACCCCAGAGCUUGCCUUCCUGCAACCAGCCCAGGGCCAUCACCCUCGGGUCUGACAGAAUAGCACAGAUAGGAGAAGUCACAGGAACCAUAGGACAUGACUUCCAAGGCCAGAGAUAAUUGAAUUACCUGGUUGUCAGCCAUGAUGAAUAUGAACCACGAAGGCAGUAUAAAUGUCCUAUUUGUUCCGUGUCCCUGGAAGCACCUCCAGCUUUUUGUUUCUAUGUUGGUACUGAGUGGCCUCUACUCCACAGAGUGGCCAUUUCCAGCCCCUUGGGACCUCUAAGGCACUCUUAGGAGGCAAUUGUGAUAUCAGCCAUGAAUUUCGUACCAGUGUGACAAAAUGUUCUACUAUGGGAUUGUGUGAGUCAUAAUUCUCCUUAAGUUAAAGAUGAUAUUUGCCAAUAACCUGUGUAUGGCUCUCUUUCCUUCAUCGUUGUUGGUCAGACAAAUCUUACCUGCUUUCCCUUGGCAUUUAAAAUCCACCUUCUCUG